ACGGCUCAGUAACACGUAGUCAACAUGCCCAGGGGACGUGGAUAACCUCGGGAAACUGAGGAUAAACCACGAUAAGUCACUACUUCUGGAAUGGGUAAUGACUCAAAUCUACAUGGCCCCUGGAUUGGACUGCGGCCGAUCAGGCUGUUGGUGAGGUAAUGGCCCACCAAACCUGUAACCGGUACGGGCUCUGAGAGGAGGAGCCCGGAGAUGGGCACUGAGACAAGGGCCCAGGCCCUAUGGGGCGCAGCAGGCGCGAAACCUCUGCAAUAGGCGAAAGCCUGACAGGGUUACUCUGAGUGAUUUCCGUUAAGGAGAUCUUUUGGCACCUCUAAAAAUGGUGCAGAAUAAGGGGUGGGCAAGUCUGGUGUCAGCCGCCGCGGUAAUACCAGCACCCCGAGUGGUCGGGACGUUUAUUGGGCCUAAAGCAUCCGUAGCCGGUUCUACAAGUCUUCCGUUAAAUCCACCUGCUUAACAGAUGGGCUGCGGAAGAUACUAUAGAGCUAGGAGGCGGGAGAGGCAAGCGGUACUCGAUGGGUAGGGGUAAAAUCCGUUGAUCCAUUGAAGACCACCAGUGGCGAAGGCGGCUUGCCAGAACGCGCUCGACGGUGAGGGAUGAAAGCUGGGGGAGCAAACCGGAUUAGAUACCCGGGUAGUCCCAGCUGUAAACGAUGCAGACUCGGUGAUGAGUUGGCUUUAUGUCAACUCAGUGCCGCAGGGAAGCCGUUAAGUUUGCCGCCUGGGGAGUACGGUCGCAAGACUGAAACUUAAAGGAAUUGGCGGGGGAGCAC
rnacentral:rRNA from 1 species